UACGGGGGGGGCAAGCGUUGUUCGGAAUUACUGGGCGUAAAGGGCUCGUAGGCGGCCAACUAAGUCAUACGUGAAAUCCCUCAGCUUAACUGGGGAACUGCGUGUGAUACUGGAUGGCUUGGAUUUGGGAGAGGGAUGCGGAAUUCCAGGUGUAGCGGUGAAAUGCGUAGAUAUCUGGAGGAACACCGGUGGCGAAGGCGGGUCUCUGGGCAGUAACUGACGCUGAGGAGCGAAAGCGUGGGGAGCGAACAGG
rnacentral:rRNA from 1 species